UUCAUUGAAACUUAUGAGGAGAAAUGACACACCAAUGGGGAUGGUUUGCCAUCUGGGUCCCAGAACAUUUCCUCCAGUACGUGCUGGUGAAGACUCAGGUUUAAGAGUAAAUGUUCUCUGAGCAACUUGUGUGCAACUGUGAUUAUUCAGGAACAAAAAUGAGUUCCUAAAAGAGAGGAAGUGGAGGAGAAAGGAGAAGAAGAAAGGGGGAGCUGGUGGCAGGUGUUGGAGUUUGCCAUACUUGUAAUAAGGAGCCAGAGAAUCAGAGCUAUGUGAGCACAUCGACAGUUUCUUCCCUCUCAUUUUCUUUGAAAUCCUUUGACUAGAGUUGGUGAUGAGUAGUCCAGUAUAUUGAUAAUCAAGUCAUUGAGAUUUUAAAAUUAAAACUCAUAUUGAAAAGUGAUGUGGGCAGGGAAUUAUAAAGAAUUAACUUUCAGUUCAGCAGCAGAGGAAACAGGAUCUGUUUAUAGAAGUAGACGUUGAAAGCACAGGGCUUACUAUUAAUAUCUACAGGCAUUACCUAACAGAUUAGCUAUUUUUGUUUCCAACAGCGGCUCCUAAAUUUGUCCAUAUAUUAAAUAUUUUCCUCAGAGGGCAUGAUGUAAGUCCAAAAACAUCACAAUGGUUGGAUGGGGUGUUUAACAAAUAUAGUUGGAUGCUGGUCCUCAGUCACCAGACAUCAGGAACUCAAUCAGCCCUUUCUCGUUUAGGGAGUCACCUCUUCUCCAGGUUCAGCCCAUCUCCACCUACAAAUCUUAGUCAAGGACAUGAGUGGAAGCAUUUGCUCUUUUUGUUGGUGGCAGUAGAGAGGGACAGUGCUGUGACAGAUGACUCAGUCCGCACACCAAGAAACCGUGGCACAAUUACAACAUUCAGGACGGGUUGUGUGUAACGGCUCAGCACUCCUCUCCAAUUGGACGCUGCCUCCUUAGGCUGAAUGCAAGACCGGAUUCCUAAAAAUACCCCCUGACAUGAGUCAUCCUCUUCCAAGGGCCCUGGAGAAUGUUUUCCACAGAAAGGGUAAGGCCCGGAGCUGCCGGGGUGAGUCAUGUGGGGAGCCGUGGGCAGCGGCGCUAUGUUAGAUGGCCAUGCUCCCUGGCCCUGCGCUCGGGUGGCUGGGAUGCUGUGCUGAAACGCGAGCCUCUGCAGCAGUUGCCACCAUUCAUCCCCCCACCCCCACCCCAGUUCCCGAA
rnacentral:lncRNA from 12 species